GCGGAUGUGGUGCACGGUGCACUGCUGCCUUCAUUAUUUAUAGAGUCGGAAAGAUUAAGCAGCUCCCGGGGUUCGACUCUCCGCGUCCGCA